UGAAAUGUUAGUAAUUGAUCUCUAUCUACGUGUGGGGGUGGAUGUUUGGUAGUCAUCAUGCCUCAAAAAUGGACUCUUACGGUAGAAUAAAAUUUUAUAUCACUUUGAACAAAAAAUAAAAAAAUCUCAAUAUUUUAUUUAAUAUGAUUUUUGUAAUAUUUUUUGGUAAUUUAUUUUCUAUUUUAUUUAAAUUAGUGGUGACACAGUUUAAAAAAUGACCACUUCUUAAUAAUUUUGAACUUCUCUAAAAUUGUGAAUUGGUUCUUGUAAAUAACCAACAUAUUUGUGUAUGUGUUGGGUAAUUGUAGGGGUGAUGAUUCAUUGCUUUAAGGUUGGAUUGUGGAUAUAUUUAUUAUGUUGCAUGUUUUUACGGAUAGCAUGCUUGAUCAUGGACUGGUUGUAGUACACAAUAUUAUAGAGUUAUGGACGUUCAAAGCCAUUGAGUAACCUGGUGUUGGGUUAGGCUUUUCCGAUAGGGAUUGAUGGGUUUAGUUUAGGAGAUGGAGUUUUUUUUUGAGAAUACAGAGAAGGUCACGGACAGGUUUGUUAUGAUUAUUGUAAGAGAAGAGUUAAUGGUGUUUUUUUUAGGUUGAAGCAUGGGCGAGGGUGUUUGAGUAGCUCCUAGGGGUUUAUUCAUGUGGAAAAGUCUCCAAAUUAUCUAAAUCAUUGUAGGGUGGUUUGUGAAGGGAUAGGACAUUUGGUUAGGAGGCUUUAAGUGUGUGAAAUUGGAUGUAGGAGAAUGGAUAGACAUUUGUAUUAGGGGUGUGUAUGAAAUUUCUGGAAAGUCUUGAAAAGCGUUAGGAUCGGGUUUCAGUGUGGAGGUGUGCACUCUAAAAUUCAUGAGUAUUUUGUGAUUAUUUUUUCCAUUGUCGUAAGUUAUUUAGGAUAAAGGGGAAUGUUAAGGUAAAAAAGGAUCGUGCAUUAUAGAUAAGCACUUUCUAGUGUUCCUUAAAUGAAGGGCAGUUAAUAAUUAGACUCCUAAGAAAGGUGCAAACAUUGUCCAAAACCUUUAUGGAUUAGGACGAUGUUACCUUCUGUAUAAUAAUUGAAUGUUUUCUUUUCUGAAAAUGGUUGGGUUCAUCACAUCAUCCAUCUAUAUCAUGUUUCACAUACAUCUUUACAUUUGCAUAAUUAUCACAAACAGAAUAUCUAAUAUACAUAAAUAAAAAAAUUAUAGUAAUUUUAAACAGGGAUAAUGAUAAGUAAUAGAGUAAAACUAAAUAUUUAGAUAUUGUUAUAAAAAUAACAUGACUCGUAAUAAAACUGGUGUAAAAUUGUAUGAGGUUUCAUUUAAUUGAAAAGCUAUGUUCUUGAUAUCAUUUUCACUCUUUUAAUUAUUGGUCAUUUUAUGUCUGUGUUUAUCUGUCAUUUUUCGAUAAAUAAUAGGAUAAACAACUUGAUCAAAAUCAAUUUUCAAAGUUGUACGGAGAUGUCUCAAUCUGGCUUCAUAUUUAGCAUUGUUUAAGGUUGAAACUGCAGUAAAACAUCAUACAGAAGACUAAGAAAAUUCUGCAGUGUAGCACACAGUGGUCAUCCAAAUAUAACAGCAAAUUCAUAAGAAAUAUUUAACCAAGACUUUACAUGGUAUUAUAAAGUCCUAGAGUGAGGGUUACCAUUGAGUAAUGAAGCGGAUAAAUUUCCUCCAUAUUUUACAGAAAAGUAAACAUGACAUAACACUUUGUCUCUAUGACUGUGCGAAGAAAACUCAUUUACUUCAUCACUUAAAGGCACCAUCUUAUUAACUAACCAAAAGCAUGCAAAUUUACUUAUAGCUCAUCACCACCCUGCAAGUGCUCGGUAGCAAACCUUUCCCUGAGCCUUCAUGUCUCAGCAUUGUAUUUGUUACUGAACACAAGGAUUUUUUGUUUGGUAAUGAAGAAAGCUGUAGAAUGUUAAUCAGAUCAUGCAUGAGCAUUGAUCUCAUCUUCAUCAGAGCCAGUGAUGCAUUCCUUCUCAUCCUCUAAAGCUUCAAAGGGAGGAUGAGGGUUGUGUCCCUUUCCAAAGGACCUAAUAUGGUCCUUAUUAAGUGAUCUUUGGUUCUUGAAGUAUGAGUCACAAGUGCAGUACCACAACUUGCCACAGUGCCUUUGGAGGGUUCUGAAGUCUUUCAAAGGCUUCGCCGUUGGAUUGUUGAUGUUGUACUCGCAACCGUGCGCGCAGCAGUAACAUGGCAACCUUAACAUUGUUGUUGAUUGUGUUCCUUUCAGUGCAUGUGUUUCUUUCCUAAAUUCUGAUCCAUGACUCCACAUAUGUAGCUGAAAAUCAACAAAAAUUAAGUUCAGUUUUGCUGCAUAUGGAGCAAGAAAACUGCAUCGGUUCAACGAGGAUCUGUGCUGGAGUUGGAAUCCAGAACCUUCUCUCUUGGUUAAAGGAGCAGCCAUGGAAGCUUCUCUUGGAGGAGGCUUCUUCUUCCUUGACAUGGAAAAUCAUCUUCUCAUCAUCAUCAUCAACAACCUCAUGAUGCCUUUUAGCACUGUCAGGCAAACCAAUGUGCAAAGCCACAGAGACUUGUUCAAGCUUUUCCUCUUUCACCUCAAAACUUUGAUGAUGGUAUUCAUCUUUUGAGGCCUUUUCAGUUAAAAUGGGCAAGAAUUGGAUGGUUUCAUGAACAAAGUCAUGCCAGGGGAAGGAAAAAGAAGAAGAAAAAGAUGAUGAAGAAGAAGUAGAUAUUGUGUUAGGAGAAGUACAUGGUUUGAGCCACUCAAUGAAAGUAGGAGCAUGAAGGUAUAGAUUCUUAUUGUUGCACUCCAUCAAACCCUGGUUGGAUUUAGAGAAUUAUCUUCUCUCUUCCUCAGAAAAGGGUUAUGUUAUGUAUAUGUGUGUCUUCAGACUUUAUGGAGGCUUUGUUUGUCUUUAUGGAUUUAAUAGGAGGGUCUGAAAAUCACAAGCAAAAAUUAAAUUCACUCAUUUAUUACAAAGAAAA